AUUGAACGCUGGCGGCAUGCUUUACACAUGCAAGUCGAACGGCAGCGCGGGCUUCGGCCUGGCGGCGAGUGGCGAACGGGUGAGUAAUGCAUCGGAACGUGCCCAGUAGUGGGGGAUAGCCCGGCGAAAGCCGAAUUAAUCCCGCAUCCGACCUGAGGGUGAACGGGGGGGACCGAAAGGCCUCGCGCUUUUUGAGCGGCCGAUGUGGGAUUAGCUAGUUGGUGGGGUAAAGGCUUACCAAGGCGACGAUCCGUAGCUGGUCUGAGAGGACGACCGGCCACACUGGGACUGAGACACGGCCCAGACUCCUACGGGAGGCAGCAGUGGGGAAUUUUGGACAAUGGGGGCAACCCUGAUCCAGCCAUGCCGCGUGCGGGAAGAAGGCCUUCGGGUUGUAAACCGCUUUUGUUCGGGAAGAAAUCCUCUGGGCUAAUACCCCGGGGGGAGGACGGUACCGGAAGAAUAAGCACCGGCGAACUACGU
rnacentral:rRNA from 1 species